rnacentral:pre_miRNA from 1 species
AUAAUACCCCCUCCGUCCCAUAUUAGUUGUUGCUGAAAUGGAUGUAUCUAAGACAUAUUUCAGUGCUAGAUACAUCCGUUUCAGCGAAACUAAUAUGGGACGGAGGGGGUAAUAC